AGUGAACGCUGGCGGUAGGCCUAACACAUGCAAGUCGAACGGCAGCACAGGAGAGCUUGCUCUCUGGGUGGCGAGUGGCGGACGGGUGAGGAAUACAUCGGAAUCUACUCUGUCGUGGGGGAUAACGUAGGGAAACUUACGCUAAUACCGCAUACGACCUACGGGUGAAAGCAGGGGACCUUCGGGCCUUGCGCGAUUGAAUGAGCCGAUGUCGGAUUAGCUAGUUGGCGGGGUAAAGGCCCACCAAGGCGACGAGCCGUAGCUGGUCUGAGGGGAUGAUCGGCCACACUGGAACUGAGACACGGUCCAGACUCCUACGGGAGUCAGCAGUGGGGAAUAUUGGACAAUGGGCGCAAGCCUGAUCCAGCCAUACCGCGUGGGUGAAGAAGGCCUUCGGGUUGUAAAGCCCUUUUGUUGGGAAAGAAAUCCAGCUGGCUAAUACCCGGUUGGGAUGACGGUACCCAAAGAAUAAGCACCGGCUAACUUCGUGCCAGCAGCCGCCGUAA
rnacentral:rRNA from 1 species